CCUACGGGAGGCAGCAGUGGGGAAUUUUGGACAAUGGGCGCAAGCCUGAUCCAGCAAUGCCGCGUGAGUGAAGAAGGCCUUCGGGUUGUAAAGCUCUUUUGUCAGGGAAGAAACGGUGGUUCCUAAUACGAACUACUAAUGACGGUACCUGAAGAAUAAGCACCGGCUAACUACGUGCCAGCAGCCGCGGUAAUACGUAGGGUGCAAGCGUUAAUCGGAAUUACUGGGCGUAAAGCGUGCGCAGGCGGUUAUAUAAGUCAGAUGUGAAAUCCCCGGGCUCAACCUGGGAACUGCAUUUGAGACUGUAUGGCUAGAGUGUGUCAGAGGGGGGUAGAAUUCCACGUGUAGCAGUGAAAUGCGUAGAUAUGUGGAGGAAUACCGAUGGCGAAGGCAGCCCCCUGGGAUAACACUGACGCUCAUGCACGAAAGCGUGGGGAGCAAACAGGAUUAGAUACCCUGGUAGUCCACGCCCUAAACGAUGUCUACUAGUUGUCGGGACUUAAUUGUCUUGGUAACGCAGCUACGACGUGAGUAGACGCCGUCGGAGGUACGGUCGCGAGAGUAAACGUACGAAGAAGUUAGUACGGCGUGAGACGUAGACCGACGGACGACGACGAGGGAGGAGG
rnacentral:rRNA from 1 species